AGUAGGAUAGCUGGGUCAUAUGGUCACUCUAUUCCUGGUCUUUUAAGGAAUCUCCAUAUAGCUUUCCAAGUGGUUGUACCAAUUUGCAGUCCUACUAGCAAU
rnacentral:pre_miRNA from 1 species